AGCGGCGGACGGGUGAGUAACACGUAAAGAACCUGCCCUCAGGUCUGGGAUAACCACGAGAAAUCGGGGCUAAUACCGGAUGGGUCAUCGGACCGCAUGGUCCGAGGAUGAAAGGCGCUUCGGCGUCGCCUGGGGAUGGCUUUGCGGUGCAUUAGCUAGUUGGUGGGGUAAUGGCCCACCAAGGCGACGAUGCAUAGCCGACCUGAGAGGGUGAUCGGCCACACUGGGACUGAGACACGGCCCAGACUCCUACGGGAGGCAGCAGUAGGGAAUCUUCCACAAUGGACGAAAGUCUGAUGGAGCAACGCCGCGUGAACGAUGAAGGCCUUCGGGUCGUAAAGUUCUGUUGUAAGGGAAGAACAAGUGCCGCAGGCAAUGGCGGCACCUUGACGGUACCUUGCGAGAAAGCCACGGCUAACUACGUGCCAGCAGCCGCGGUAAUACGUAGGUGGCAAGCGUUGUCCGGAAUUAUUGGGCGUAAAGCGCGCGCAGGCGGCCUCUUAAGUCUGAUGUGAAAGCCCCCGGCUCAACCGGGGAGGGCCAUUGGAAACUGGGAGGCUUGAGUAUAGGAGAGAAGAGUGGAAUUCCACGUGUAGCGGUGAAAUGCGUAGAGAUGUGGAGGAACACCAGUGGCGA
rnacentral:rRNA from 1 species